rnacentral:rRNA from 1 species
AUUGAACGCUGGCGGCAUGCUUUACACAUGCAAGUCGAACGGUAACAGGCCUUCGGGUGCUGACGAGUGGCGAACGGGUGAGUAAUGCAUCGGAACGUACCCAGAGGUGGGGGAUAACGCAGCGAAAGCUGUGCUAAUACCGCAUGUGAUCUGAGGAUGAAAGCGGGGGACCGAGCAGCAAUGUUUGGCCUCGCGCCUUUGGAGCGGCCGAUGUCGGAUUAGCUAGUUGGUGGGGUAAAGGCCUACCAAGGCGACGAUCCGUAGCUGGUCUGAGAGGACGACCAGCCACACUGGGACUGAGACACGGCCCAGACUCCUACGGGAGGCAGCAGUGGGGAAUUUUGGACAAUGGGCGCAAGCCUGAGCCAGCAAUGCCGCGUGCGGGAAGAAGGCCUUCGGGUUGUAAACCGCUUUUGGCAGGAACGAAACGGUGUCCGCUAAUACCGGGCGCUAAUGACGGUACCUGCAGAAUAAGCACAGGCUAACUACGU